UAAACGAUUUUUACAUAGAAUGUGUUGUAUACACUAUAAAAUGAUCAAAUCAUGUUUUAUUUGUUACAUGUAAAGAGAGAAAAGGAUGACUAAAACUUACAAGUUUGUAUAUGCCAUGAUUUUAUUUCUUUACAUAUUUCAAAUUGCAAGAAACGUUGAUGCAAAUUUUGAAUGUAAAUCUACUAAUGAUUGUCCAAAAAGUGUUUUACGCGUUUGGAGGUGCAUUAACAAUUAUUGCCGACCUGUUAGAAUGAAGAAAAUACACAACACCAUGUAGGGGAGAAUGAGUUCUUACACUAGGGAAAAAAAAACUUUACAAUAUACCUUAUGCUAGAAUAUUUUAUAGUUGCCAAAUAUUUAUUAUGAUGGCACCAAAUUAUUGUAUUUUCUAAUUCAUUUUCUUUACAUAAUUUCGCAUAACUUGCAUUUAUGGA